rnacentral:rRNA from 1 species
CGGAGAGUUUGAUCUUGGCUCAGAAUAAACGCUGGUGGCGUGCUUUAUACAUGCAAGUCGAGCGGAGAUCAGCUUGAAGCAGAAGGUGAUUAAUUCACACUUUGUGUGAGUUAUGAACUUUCUGCCACGGUUGAUCUUAGCGGCGAACGGGUGAGUAACACGUGGAUAAUCUGCCCUUGAGACCGGGAUAACAUCUCGAAAGGGGUGCUAAUACCGGAUAAAAUUACAGAAAGCAAUUUCGGUAACCAAAGUUGGAUUUUCAAAGUUCUUCGCUCAAGGAUGAGUCCGCGUCCUAUUAGCUAGUUGGUGAGGUAAAGGCUCACCAAGGCAAUGAUGGGUAGCCGGCCUGAGAGGGCGUACGGCCACACUGGGACUGAGACACGGCCCAGACUCCUACGGGAGGCAGCAGUAGGGAAUCUUCCGCAAUGGGCGAAAGCCUGACGGAGCGACGCCACGUGGAUGAUGAAGGCCUUCGGGUCGUAAAAUCCUGUCAGGGGGGACGAUGGUCGAUCUUCGGAUUGAUUGACGGUACCCUCAGAGGAAGCUCCGGCCAACUACGUGCCAGCAGCCGCGGUAAUACGUAGGGAGCAAGCGUUAUUCGGAUUUACUGGGCGUAAAGAGUGCGUAGGCGGUUAUAUAAGUCAAAGGUGAAAUCUUCACUUUCAAGGUGGAAACUGCCUCUGAUACUGUAUAACUAGAGGGCAAGAGGGGGAAAUGGAACUCUGGGAGUAGCGGUGAAAUGCGUAGAUAUCCAGAGGAACGCCGGUAGCGAAGGCGAUUUCCUGGCUUGCAUCUGACGCUGAGGCACUAAAGCUAGGGUAGCGAUCGGGAUUAGAGACCCCGGUAGUCCUAGCCCUAAACGAUGGGUACUAAGUGUGGGGGGAGCAUUACCCUCCGUGCUGAAGCUAACGCGUUAAGUACCCCGCCUGGGGAGUACGGUCGCAAGGCUGAAACUCAAAAGAAUUGACGGGGGGCUGAACAAGCAGUGGAGCACGUGGUUUAAUUCGACGCAAAGCGAAGAACCUUACCAGGACUUGACAUGCUAGUAGUAG